rnacentral:rRNA from 1 species
GUCUACGGCCUUCCCAUCCUGAACGUUCUCGAUCUCUGAAGCCAAGCAGGGUCAGGCCUGGUUAGUACUUGGAUGGGAGACUACUUACAGAUCAGUGCUUUUAAGG